CCUACGGGAGGCAGCAGUGAGGAAUAUUGGUCAAUGGACGAGAGUCUGAACCAGCCAAGUAGCGUGAAGGAUGACUGCCCUAUGGGUUGUAAACUUCUUUCAUAUGGGAAUAAAAUGUUCCACGUGUGGGAUUUUGUAUGUACCAUAUGAAUAAGGAUCGGCUAACUCCGUGCCAGCAGCCGCGGUAAUACGGAGGAUCCGAGCGUUAUCCGGAUUUAUUGGGUUUAAAGGGAGCGUAGGUGGAUUGUUAAGUCAGUUGUGAAAGUUUGCGGCUCAACCGUAAAAUUGCAGUUGAAACUGGCAGUCUUGAGUACAGUAGAGGUGGGCGGAAUUCGUGGUGUAGCGGUGAAAUGCUUAGAUAUCACGAAGAACUCCGAUUGCGAAGGCAGUUCACUGGACUGCAACUGACACUGAGGCUCGAAAGUGUGGGUAUCAAACAGGAUUAGAUACCCCAGUAGUC
rnacentral:rRNA from 1 species